CCGUUGGGAUGGCUGAUAUAAAAAAUAUAUGCUCUACUUAAUUCAUUAAUAUUAAGUAGAGCAUAUAUUUUUUAUAUCAGGUAUAAAGUCCCUGCACGUGGUCAAAUAUGCUCAUGUUAUUGGACAAUUUGCCUAAUUAAUUAUAACGAUGUUUUAAUCAUGACAUCACCAUUACCUCCAUCCAUGAUUAUGAUGAUUAUGUUUAUUACGUAUCCACAUGCACAAUGACCAUCACGUCCAUGAAUUGACUAUAAACUAAACUUACUCCCCUUGGGACUCUAAUAUUUAUUCCAUUUUUUUAUAAAGCAAAAUUGAAUUCUAGCUUAACUGUACGGAAAAUCUGGCCUUAAUACAUGUGAGCAACACUAAACGGUUACGAUUGGGUGUAAAAACUAAACAGAAUACUGCUCAACACAAAAC